CAGCUUUCCCUCACCAGGUGAGGCAGGCACUGCUCUCCCCUCACAGCUUUCCCUCACCAGGUGAGGCAGGGACUGCUCUCCCCUCACAGCUCCAUUUUCCCUCACCAGGAGAGGCAGGCACUGCUCUCCCCUCACAGCUCCCAUUUUCCCUGACCAGGUGAGGCAGGGACUGCUCUCCCCUCACAGCUCCCAUUUUCCAUCACCAGGUGAGGCAGGGACUGCUCUCCCCUCACAGCUCCAUUUUCCCUCACCAGGAGAGGCAGGCACUGCUCUCCCCUCACAGCUUUCCCUCACCAGGUGAGGCAGACACUGCUCUCCCCUCACAGCUUUCCCUCACCAGGAGAGGCAGGCACUGCUCUCCCCUCACAGCUCCCAUUUUCCCUCACCAGGAGAGGCAGGCACUGCUCUCCCCUCACAGCUUUCCCUCACCAGGAGAGGCAGGCACUGCUCUCCCCUCACAGUUCACAGCUCACCAGCAGCAGCAUCUGGGGCUUUUCCUCCCAGAAUUUUGGGAUAAAAGCUUUUCCCACCCAGAAUUUUGGGAUUAAAGCUUUGCCACCCAGGAUUUUGGGAAGGAAUUGUUCCCUGGGAGGGUGGAGAGGCCCAGGGAUGGAUUUUCUAGGCUGCCCCUUGGAUCCCUGCAAGUGCCCAAGGCCAGCUUGGACAGGGAUCUGUCUUAGCCAUCAGGAGGACUGGACAAGGGGCAAAACUUUGA